GAGCUCCAGCAGGUCACCUGCUAGGCUGGGAGAAUGGACAGAAUGCAGGUUCCAGACCCAAGAAGGGGUUAGGCAGGGUCACAGGCUACUUCAUCUGCCUCCGUAUCUUUAUGCUAAGCACUGCACCCUCUGACAUUGGAGGGCAAGAAAAGAAAAGGUGUUACAAGGAGGAGGCUAGAACCUAUCCCAGGAGUAAUCUGAGAAUUGAGCCAGUGGUUGACAACCAUCCUAGGAAGUAUUUGGAAAUGUGUGGAGACAUGGUACGGUGGACACAAUGAUAGGGAGGGGCACUAUAGGUGGGAGCCAGAGAUGGUGAGCAUCCCAAAAGUGCAGAAGAUCCCAAAGCCAAGAGCAUCCAUUGAGAUAUACUGAAGUCAGUUCCAUCUACCCUAGCUGCUCUGACCAUACCUGAACCACUGUACUCAGCACAAAGCCACAACAAAUGUGGAAGGCAGGGAAGAACGAAGAGUUGCAAGAAGAAAAAAAAUACAACAUGCCCAAAAGGUGGUGAUGAGGAAAAGGGGAAACUUAGAGGCAGAUUGGGGCCAAAAACCUAUAGACAACAGCUAGCAGGAUUUAACAAUGAGAACGGCAAGCAGCUUCUCAAAGAGGGAUGCCCCUGCCAACACGGAUGCUGAGCUGCAGCAGGAUGUCUUCAGCUGGAGGGCGCUCUUGAGCCCAUCAGCAGCCAAGGUCUACCUGUCCUACCUCCAAGCCUCUUGUGCUCGUCACUUCCUCUCCACUGCCACGAUGUGGCCACACCUCUCAUAGCUCAACUCAUCUCAUCUACCCCACGAUUCACCUUGGGUCUCUAGGGUCCCAGGUUUGCCAUUUACCACCACGGGCAAGGUACAUAAUACUUCUCUGCACCUCUGAUUCCUCCUCUAUAAUGGCACACAGAGGAUGAGGUCAAUAAUUACACUUUACGGCCAGGCACGGUGGUUCACGCCUGUAAUCCCAACACUUUGGGGGGCCGAGGCAUGCAGAUCACCUGAGGUCGGGAGUUCAAGACCAGCCUGACCAACAUGGAGAAACCCCAUCUCUACUAAAAAUACAAAAUUAGCUGGGCAUAGUGGCGCAUGCCUGUAAAUAAUUAUGCUUUACACUUGGAUGUCUCAAGGUAGCGCUGGAGUAGUUAUUCUGAGCUACUGGAAUAUCAGCGAGUGCCACCUCCAGAGGGAGCUUCCCAGAGCCCAGCCCUGUACCAUCUCUGAGCUUCCAGGAGUCCCCAGCUCUCCAGCCUCAGAAUAAAACCUGCCUGGAAGCUGGCACUGGAGGGUCUCCAUGGGCCCAGCCUAACCUGUCCACACCCUCCCAGGGCUCCCCCUUCUACCACCCAUACUUCUGGCCAGACUAUAGUGCCACUUGCUCAUCACACCCAGCCCAUUCCCAGGUGUUCCCAUUCAGUUUUCUGAUUCCACCAUCACUACUGCCUCUACCAACAUCCCAACUGACCCUUCAGGCCCAGCUCAAAUGAGACCUCUCCGAGGAGUUUCCCAGAUCCCCCUACCCAGGAAUGACCUGCUCCCCUAUCUCCCUAUGCAUGCCUCCCUAUGGUUCUAGCUGAUGUCUACUAGGCCUGGCUUCACCUAUGAGGCUGGGGUCAGGGUGGUUUCAUGGAUGUGUAACCUUGUGCAGUCUCACAAGGCUCACAAUUGGCUUCGCACUCUGCUGUUGCCAUCGUGAAAUCCUCAAUGAUUUAUGUGCUGCAAGGAGCUCCCAAUUUUCAUUUUGCACUGGGCCUGCAAACUGCAAACUGCAAACUGCAGAUGUGGUCCUGCUGAGGACUUCUCAAGGAUGAGGCUUUGGUUUAUCUCUGCAUCUCACAGCCUGCAGCAGUGACUGGGACACAGUAAGGACUUAACAAAGGAGGGAAGGUGGUUGGCUCAGAGACACAGGCCCCCAGGGAUCACAGCACCCUGCCCUCAUCAUCUGCAUUUAUGGUCCCCACAAGUCCCAGACUCGGGAGGACAGACACACCCACAGGCCAAACAAGGCAUUAGGAACAUGGGAUGGCACAGCUUCCUGGGGUGCCCCAGCUUCCCGGAAUGCCCCAGCUAAUGGAAUCGCACCCAGUCCUGGCUCUGAUCACAGUAGCACAUCUGACACGUGCCCUCAAUCCCUCCCUACCUCGUGACCCAUAAGCAGCCUGUUGGCACAGGCACACAGCCAUUAGUCAAGCAACCUGUGAGAAAAACACUGCCUGGCCAUGCAAAACAAAUGUAGGUGGCCCAUUAGAAAGUGAGGACUUGUUUGUGAAAAGGUACAUGUAUGGAAUGCAACAGCCUCCUCCCUCUGCAUCUGACUUGGGAGCACUUUCAUCAUAAAAUUUUGGUUGACACUAGAUGUGUUCUUACUUGUAAGACAGCACAGUUAUCAGGAAGAGUCACAGAAUGUCAACAACAGAAGGGACCCCAAAGAUAAAGUAGUCCAGUGCCCCAUUUGACAGAUGGGGAAACUGAGGCCUCUGUGUUCCCAGGGCCCCAGCCUGCUCCCCUUGGACACUGCACCUGUGUACUGUAUUGCCAAUGACUGUUUACAAGACACCUCACACACCAGACGGGUAAUCAAGUUUUUAAAAUGAAAAUAAAGGAUUGCUGAAUAAAUGAACAACCAGAGAGGCGGCCACCAGCCAAGGACAAACAAAGCUGAAUCUGGAACACUGGCUUCCUGCUGUCCUCUCAGACUAAACGCAGACAAAUAAACGUCACCUUACCUACCGACCAGUGUCUCAGCAAGGAAGGAGUGAGAGAAGGAGGUGAAAGUGCACUGAAGACCUAAUACACAAUGCAUACUUAAGCGGGACUGUCAGGGGACAAAGAACCAGAGCCAGUGGACAAAACCUCCGUUCCCAAACUCCAAGCCACCAAUGGAAGGCCUCACAUAGGAAGCUGUGGGUGGAAGAUGGUGCGUUUCUACUGCCUGGUGGUUUUGGAUCUCUAUCACCUACUCAGAAUCUGAACCCUAGCCUGUGUGUGUGAGAGGCUGCAUGUGCACAUACAAAAACAGCAAGGAAUGGACAUCCAGCUCUACCUCACCACCACAAACAACACUGCAGUGAACACCCUGGACCUUCCCCUUAGGACCUGCAUGAGAACCUGGGGAACUGACACCCAUGGGAGGGGCUUCUGGGUCAGGGCUUUGCUGGUACCCUGCCAGAGGCUCCAGGACAGCUGCAACUGCAAAGGCAAGAGUUCCUGCAUCCCCACACCCACUGCUGAUAGGCAGCAUCCAGCUUUCUAGUUCCCACCAGUCUAAGAGGUGAAACAGGAUCGAGCUCAAGGUUGUGUUCCAGUAUGGAUUCUUACCAAACCUGACUGAACCGUACCUGCUAAGGGAAUGGCAGGAAAAGCACUUGUACCCUAAGCAUCACUGGUGUGAAAUGGAAACAACUGCUCAUUGAUAAGUC